rnacentral:lncRNA from 1 species
CAGAGAUCACAUGGUGAGAGAGGAAGUAAGAGAGAGAAGGGAGAUGCCAGGAUCUUUUUAACAAUCAGCUUUCUCAGGAAAGAACAGAGUGAGAACUCAGUCACUCUCACUCUCCAGGGAGGACAUUAAUCUAUUCAUGAGGGGUCUGCCCCCAUGACCCAAACACCCCCCAUUAGGCCCUACCUCCAACACUGAGGAUUAAAUUUCAACAUGAGAUUUGGAGGGGUCAAACAUACACACUAUAGCACUAAACUCUAAUUUGAAAGGGAAUACACUUUCAAGACUAAAAUACAUUUUCUUUUUUUUUUUUUUUUUUUUUUUUUUGAGAUGGAGUCUUGCUCUGUCGCCCAGGCUGGAGUGCAGUGGCGUGAUCUCAGCUCACUGGAAUCUCCACCUCCUGGGUUCACACCAUUCUCCUGCUUCAGCCUCCGAACAGCUGGGACUACAGGCACCCGCCACCAUGUCGGCUAAUUUUUUGUAUUUUUAGUAGAGAUGGGGUUUCACCAUGUUAGCCAGAAUGGACUCGAUCUCCUGACCUCGUGAUCCACUCGCCUCAGCCUCCCACAGUGCUGGGAUUACAGGCGUGAGCCACCGCGCCUGGCCUGACUAAAAUACAUUUUCAAGACUAAAAGCUAAGAACAAAGAUUUAGAGAUUUGAUACAGCAUUUGUAGAGAGGGCUUUUAGAGUGAUCUCAACCUGAUGUAACUGGCUGUGAAAUGUAAUUCUUCCAGGAUGAAAGGUGAAGAUCAGUAUGCAUACAUGUAUUUAUCUACAGUAUAUACACAUAAUACAUAGUAAAGAAUUAAGCUUCAGUAACCUGUAAAAUUUGCCUAAGUAGAAUACUGAUUUUGCAGAGAUAUGGGCUAAGUAAGAUACUAUCCUACACAUAAACACACGCAGAUGAUAGAAUGAAGUUAAAAACUGUUUCCAUUCUUCUUCUACACCUUAUAUAUUCAUGUCUAUAACAGCCCAUAACACACUGUUUACAUGUCUGACUUGCCCAACAGACUGUGAAGUCCUUAAGUCUAGCAGGGUGCUACAUUCAUUUAUUAUUCAGUAAAUAAAUGUUGAGCCAAACUGAAGUUACAGGAGAGAAGCAGAAAUCAUCAUGGAUUCACACAAGAGUGGGAGGGAUUUUUUUUUUUUUUUUUUUGAGAUGGAGUUUCACUCUUGUCGCCCAGGCUGGAGUACAAUGGCGUGAUCUCAGCUCACUGCAACCUCCACCUCCUGGGUUCAAGCAGUUCUCAUGACUCAGCCUCCCAAGUACCUGGGAUUAAAGGCACGUGCCACCACACCUGGCUAAUUUUUGUAUUUUUAGUAGAGACGGGGUUUCACCAUAUUGGCCAGGCUGGUCUUGAGCUCCUCCCCUCAGGUGAUCCACCCACCUCAACCUCCCGAAGUGCUGGGAUUACAGGUGUGAGCCACCACGACCAGGCCGGGAGGGCUUUCUAGAGAGUAUAGGAGCCUCAAAGAAAGAUAGGAGCUGGCUAGGAAGAAAAUAGGGAAAAGAAAACUCCAAGUCAAGGAGGAGCAUAUCAAGAAUAAAAGAAAGUCAGCCGGGCAUGGUGGCUCACACCUGUAAUCUCAGCACUUUGGGAGCCCAAGGUGGGUGGAUCACAAGGUCAGGAGUUCAAGACCAGCCUGGCCAACAUAGUGAAACCUCUUCUCUACUAAAAAUACAAAAAUUAGCCAGGUGUGGUGGCACGUGCCUGUAGUCCCAGCUAUGAUACUCAGGAGGCUGAAGCAGGAGAAUACCUUGAACCUGGCAAGCAGAGGUUGCAGUGAGCCGAGACCACGCCAUUGCACUCCAGCCUGGGUGACAGAGUGAGACUCCAUCUCAAAAAAAAAGAAUAUCACGCCUGUAAUCCCAGCACUUUGGGAGGCCGAGGCGGGCGGAUCACGAGGUCAGGAGAUCGAGACUAUCCUAGCCAAAAUGGUGAAACUCCAUCUCUACUAAAAAUACAAAAAUCUGCUGGGCAUGGUGGCACGUGCCUGUAAUCCCAGCUACUCAGGAGGCUGAGGCAAGAGAAUCGCUUGAACCAGGGAGUCGGAGGUUGCAGUGAGC